rnacentral:rRNA from 1 species
UUGGAGGGCAAGUCUGGUGCCAGCAGCCGCGGUAAUUCCAGCUCCAAUAGCGUAUAUUAAAGUUGUUGCAGUUAAAAAGCUCGUAGUUGAAUUUCGGGAUUUAUCCGUUGGUCGGGCUUUUGGGUCUGUACUGGCGUGAUGGAUUUCUACCUUCUGAAUAACCGGCAUGUCAUUAAUUUGGUGCGCCGGGGAAGCAGGACUGUUACCUUGAAAAAAUUAGAGUGUUUAAAGCAGGCUCACGCUUGAAUACAUUAGCAUGGAAUAAUGAAAUAGGACGUUUGAUUCUAUUUUGUUGGUUUCUAGGAUCGACGUAAUGAUUAAUAGGGAUAGUUGGGGGCAUUAGUAUUCAAUUGUCAGAGGUGAAAUUCUUGGAUUUAUUGAAGACUAACUACUGCGAAAGCAUUUGCCAAGGAUGUUUUCAUCAAUCAAGAACGAAAGUUAGGGGAUCGAAGACGAUCAGAUACCGUCGUAGUCUUAACCAUAAACUAUGCCGACUAGGGAUCGGAUGAUGUUAAUUCUUUUUAAUGACUCAUUCGGCGCCUUACGGGAAAC